rnacentral:rRNA from 1 species
UUCGGUCUAGUGGCGGACGGGUGAGUAACGCGUAGGAACCUGCCAAGUAGUGGGGAAUAACAGUUGGAAACGACUGCUAAUACCGCAUACGCCCUUCGGGGGAAAGAUUUAUCGCCAAAGGAUUGGCCCGCGUUGGAUUAGCUAGUUGGUAGGGUAAAGGCCUACCAAGGCGACGAUCCAUAGCUGGUCUGAGAGGAUGAUCAGCCACACUGGAACUGAGACACGGUCCAGACUCC